CUGCCCGGUGGAUGAAUUAAACGGCCGCAGUACCUUGACUGUGCUAAGGUAGCGCAAUCAAUUGGCUUUUAAUUGGAGUCUGUAUGAAUGGGUUAACGGGGAAUAUCUGUCUCGUUAUGUUUACCUAGAACUUAGUAAUUAGGUGAAAAUACCUAACCAAAGAAAAAAGACGAGAAGACCCUAAGAAUUUUGUAUUUUGUUGGGGCGACACUGGGACUAAACUCUCAAAUUUAUAAUAAACAAGACGAUGGUUAUAAGAAAGAAAAAAUUACCUUAGGGAUAACAGCAUUAUUAAUAAUUAGUUUGUGACCUCGAUGUUGGACUAAGAUUCCUUGAACUAGCCGUUCAAGUUGUUUGGCUCUGUUCGAGCUUGUGAUAAUCUUACAUGAUCUGA
rnacentral:rRNA from 1 species